rnacentral:rRNA from 1 species
GACGGGGGGGGCAAGUGUUCUUCGGAAUGACUGGGCGUAAAGGGCACGUAGGCGGUGAAUCGGGUUGAAAGUGAAAGUCGCCAAAAAAGUGGCGGAAUGCUCUCGAAACCAAUUCACUUGAGUGAGACAGAGGAGAGUGGAAUUUCGUGUGUAGGGGUGAAAUCCGUAAAUAUACGAAGGAACGCCAAAAGCGAAGGCAGCUCUCUGGGUCCCUACCGACGCUGGGGUGCGAAAGCAUGGGGGAGCGAACAGG